AUGCCCGCGACCUCCAGCCGGCGCCCACCUUCCCCCGCCCCCGCCUCCUUCCGGGCGCGACGCCGGCCCCGCCUCCUCCGGCGCGAAGCCGCCGCCACCAACUCCUCUUGGCGCGUCGCCGCCCCUGGGUCCCGAAGCGCCCCCCUGCCGCAGCCGGCCCCGACUCCUCCGGCGCGAGGUCGCCGCCCCCAUCUCCUCCGGCGCGAGGCCGCCGCUCCCACCUCCUCCUGGUGCACUGCCGCCCCCUUGUCCCGACAGGCCUCCGGCCUCCGCCGCAACCACCACGCCGGCCUCCCUCCCCCUGGAUCCACCGCGGCGGCGGCCUCCCUGCCCCUGGAUCCACCGCGACGGUGCAUCGCUCCCCCUGGUUCCACAGCGGCGGCGGCGGAUAGCCUCCCCCUGGAUCCACCAGCCAUCAACCUCCCCCCGAGCACCUCCCUUCCUGUGCUGCAACCGGGCCACCGCUACUGCGCCACCCGCCCCAAACACCGUAGCUCCUCCUUGAUGAAUACAUCACGGAUGGCCUCCUGCUCAACGACGGCGCCAACCUAA
rnacentral:rRNA from 1 species